UACGUAGGUGGCGAGCGUUGUCCGGAUUUACUGGGCGUAAAGAGCGCGCAGGCGGUUGGAUAAGUCGAAUGUGAAAGCCCCCGGCUCAACUGGGGAGGGUCAUUCGAUACUGUCCGACUCGAAGGCAGGAGAGGGAAGCGGAAUUCCCGGUGUAGUGGUGAAAUUCGUAGAUAUUGGGAAGAACACCGGUGGCGAAGGCGGCUAUCUGGCCCGUAAUUGACGCUGAGGCGCGAAAGCGUGGGGAGCAAACAGG
rnacentral:rRNA from 1 species